GAUCAUGGCUCAGGAUGAACGCUAGCUACAGGCUUAACACAUGCAAGUCGAGGGGAAACGACAUCGAAAGCUUGCUUUUGAUGGGCGUCGACCGGCGCACGGGUGAGUAACGCGUAUCCAACCUGCCCACCACUUGGGGAUAACCUUGCGAAAGUAAGACUAAUACCCAAUGACGUCUCUAGAAGACAUCUGAAAGAGAUUAAAGAUUUAUCGGUGAUGGAUGGGGAUGCGUCUGAUUAGCUUGUUGGCGGGGUAACGGCCCACCAAGGUGACGAUCAGUAGGGGUUCUGAGAGGAAGGUCCCCCACAUUGGAACUGAGACACGGUCCAAACUCCUACGGGAGGCAGCAGUGAGGAAUAUUGGUCAAUGGGCGAGAGCCUGAACCAGCCAAGUAGCGUGCAGGAUGACGGCCCUAUGGGUUGUAAACUGCUUUUAUAAGGGAAUAAAGUUAGUCUCGUGAGACUUUUUGCAUGUACCUUAUGAAUAAGGACCGGCUAAUUCCGUG
rnacentral:rRNA from 1 species